GGGGCCAUAGCUCAAUGGUAGAGCAGCUGCCUCUUAAGCAGUUGGUUGGAGGUUCGAAUCCUCCUGGCCUCACCC
rnacentral:tRNA from 1 species